rnacentral:rRNA from 1 species
GAACGCUAGCGGGAGGCUUAACACAUGCAAGUCGAGGGGUAAGUUUCUCUUCGGAGAAUACACGACCGGCGCACGGGUGAGUAACGCGUAUGCAACCUACCUAUAACACAAGGAUAGCUCCCGGAAACGGGAAUUAAUACUUGAUGACAUUCAAAGAUGGCAUCAUCAAUGAAUCAAAGUUCCGGCGGUUAUAGAUGGGCAUGCGUGACAUUAGCUAGUUGGUGAGGUAGAGGCUCACCAAGGCGACGAUGUCUAGGGGGUCUGAGAGGAUGAUCCCCCACACUGGUACUGAGACACGGACCAGACUCCUACGGGAGGCAGCAGUGAGGAAUAUUGCGCAAUGGAGGAAACUCUGACGCAGCCAUCCCGCGUGCAGGAUUGACGGCCCUAUGGGUUGUAAACUGCUUUUCUAUACCAAGAAACACCGAUACGUGUAUCGGUUUGCCGGUAGUAUAGGAAUAAGCAUCGGCUAACUCCGUGCCAGCAGCCGCGGUAACACGGAAGCCCCGAGCGUUGUUCGGAUUCAUUGGGCGUAAAGGGUGCGUAGGCGGCGCGGAAAGUCCGGCGUGAAAGGCAGGGGCUCAACCUCUGGACUGCGUUGGAUACUUCCGUGCUUGAGGACUGGAGGGGAGACUGGAAUUCACGGUGUAGCAGUGAAAUGCGUAGAUAUCGUGAGGAAGACCGGUGGCGAAGGCGAGUCUCUGGACAGAUCCUGACGCUGAGGCACGAAGGCUGGGGGAGCGAACAGGAUUAGAUACCCUGGUAGUCCCAGCAGUAAACGAUGUGAGCUUGAUGUGGGGGGAUUCGACCCCUUCCGUGUCGAAGCUAACGCGAUAAGCUCACCGCCUGAGGAGUACGGCCGCAAGGCUAAAACUCAAAGAAAUUGACGGGGACCCGCACAAGCGGUGGAGUAUGUGGCUUAAUUCGAUGCAACGCGAAGAACCUUACCUGGCCUUGACAUGCAUUGUGUCGUCGGUGAAAGCCGGCUAGUCCUGGAAACAGGACGCUUUGCACAGGUGCUGCAUGGCUGUCGUCAGCUCGUGUCGUGAGAUGUUGGGUUAAGUCCCGCAACGAGCGCAACCCUUGUGGUCAGUUACUAACCGGCUUAGCCGGAGGACUCUGGCCAGACUGCCCUGUCAAACGGGGAGGAAGGUGGGGACGACGUCAAGUCAGUAUGGCCCUUAUGGCCAGGGCUGCACACGUACUACAAUGCCCGGUACAAUGUGAACCGAAACCGCGAGGUGGAGGAAAUCGCUCUUGAAAACCGGGCCCAGUUCGGAUUGGAGUCUGCAACUCGACUCCAUGAAGUCGGAAUCGCUAGUAAUGGCGUAUCAGCAACGACGCCGUGAAUACGUUCCCGGGUCUUGUACACACCGCCCGUCACAUCAUGGAAGUCUCCUGUACCCGAAGCACGUGCGCCAACC